rnacentral:rRNA from 1 species
UACAGAGGUCUCAAGCGUUGUUCGGAUUCAUUGGGCGUAAAGGGUGCGUAGGCGGCGCGGUAAGUCGGGUGUGAAAUCUCGGAGCUUAGCUCCGAAACUGCAUUCGAUACUGCCGUGCUUGAGGACUGGAGAGGAGACUGGAAUUCAUGGUGUAGCAGUGAAAUGCGUAGAGAUCAUGAGGAAGACCAGUGGCGAAGGCGGGUCUCUGGACAGUUCCUGACAGCUGAGACACGAAGGCCAGGGGAGCAAACGGG